rfam:Camelus ferus unplaced genomic scaffold scaffold261, whole genome shotgun sequence.
GAGGAUAUAGCUCAAGUGCUAAAGCACAUGCUUAGCUUGCAUGAGGUCCUGGGUUCAAUCCCCAGUACCUCCU